UGGAAUGAAAUGGUUAAAGAUGGAGAAAUUGUAUACACUGGAACAGAAUCAACCCAGAACGGAUAGCUCCCUCCUGGAAAAGCUUUUGUCUGGUCCUCUGAGCCCCAGUGAGAGUUUCCUGAGGUACCUCACCCUUCCACAAGACAACAGGCUUGCCAUUGAUCUGCAACAAACGGCGGUUGUUGUCAUGGCCCAUUUAGACCGUCUGGCUACACCCUGUAGAUGCCUCCUCUGUGUAGCUCUCCGACGUCUCAUAAGAGUCAUUUUUUACAGGUCAGAACUGUAGAAAUAAUGAGAAAGUGACAUUUGUACGCAUAGCUGAUUUGGAGAACCAUAAUAACGAUGGAGGCUUCUGGACUGUGAUUGACGGGAAAGUGUAUGAUAUAAAGGACUUCCAGACACAGUCGUUAACAGAAAAUAGUAUUCUUGCUCAGUUUGCAGGGGAAGACCCAGUGGUAGCUUUGGAAGCUGCUUUGCAGUUUGAAGACACCCGGGAAUCCAUGCACGCAUUUUGUGUUGGCCAGUAUUUGGAGCCUGACCAAGAAGGCGUCACCAUACCAGAUCUGGGGAGUCUCUCCUCACCUCUGAUAGACACAGAGAGGAAUCUGGGCCUGCUUCUCGGAUUACACGCUUCCUAUUUAGCAAUGAGCACACCGCUGUCUCCUGUCGAGAUUGAAUGUGCCAAAUGGCUUCAGUCAUCCAUCUUCUCUGGAGGCCUGCAGACCAGCCAGAUCCACUACAGCUACAACGAGGAGAAAGACGAGGACCACUGCAGCUCCCCAGGGGGCACACCUGCCAGCAAAUCUCGACUCUGCUCCCACAGACGGGCCCUGGGGGACCAUUCCCAGGCAUUUCUGCAAGCCAUUGCAGACAACAACAUUCAGGAUCACAACGUGAAGGACUUUUUGUGUCAAAUAGAAAGGUACUGUAGGCAGUGCCAUUUGACCACACCGAUCAUGUUUCCCCCCGAGCAUCCCGUGGAAGAGGUCGGUCGCUUGCUGUUAUGUUGCCUCUUAAAACAUGAAGAUUUAGGUCAUGUGGCAUUAUCUUUAGUUCAUGCAGGUGCACUUGAUAUUGAGCAAGUAAAGCACAGAACGUUGCCUAAGUCAGUGGUGGAUGUUUGUAGAGUUGUCUACCAAGCAAAAUGUUCGCUCAUUAAGACUCAUCAAGAACAGGGCCGUUCUUACAAGGAGGUCUGCGCUCCUGUCAUCAAACGUUUGAGAUUCCUCUUUAAUGAAUUGAGACCUGCUGUUUGUAAUGACCUCUCUAUAAUGUCUAAGUUUAAAUUGUUAAGUUCUUUGCCCCAUUGGAGGAGGAUAGCUCAGAAGAUAAUUCGAGAACCAAGGAAAAAGAGAGUUCCUAAGAAGCCAGAAUCUACGGAUGAUGAAGAAAAAAUUGGAAACGAAGAGAGUGAUUUAGAAGAAGCUUGCAUUUUGCCUCAUAGUCCAAUAAAUGUGGACAAGAGACCCAUUGCAAUUAAAUCACCCAAGGACAAAUGGCAGCCGCUGUUGAGUACUGUUACAGAUGUUCACAAAUACAAGUGGUUGAAGCAGAAUGUGCAGGGUCUUUAUCCGCAGUCUCCACUCCUCAGUACAAUUGCUGAAUUUGCCCUUAAAGAAGAGCCAGUGGAUGUGGAAAAGAGAAAGUGCCUACUAAAACAGUUGGAGAGAGCAGAGGUUCGCCUGGAAGGGAUAGAUACAAUUUUAAAAUUGUAUCUGGUGAGCAAGAAUUUCUUACUUCCAUCUGUGCCGUAUGCGAUGUUUUGUGGAUGGCAAAGACUUAUUCCUGAGGGAAUCGAUAUAGGGGAACCUCUUACUGAUUGUUUAAAGGAUGUUGAUUUGAUCCCGCCUUUUAAUCGGAUGCUGCUGGAAGUCACCUUUGGCAAGCUGUACGCUUGGGCUGUUCAGAACAUUCGAAAUGUUUUGGUGGAUGCCAGUGCCAAAUUUAAAGAGCUUGGUAUCCAGCCGGUUCCCCUGCAAACCAUCACCAAUGAGAACCCAUCGGGACCGAGCCUGGGGACCAUCCCGCAAGCCCACUUCCUCCUGGUGAUGCUCAGCAUGCUCACCCUGCAGCACAGCGCAAACAACCUUGACCUCCUGCUCAAUUCCGGCACGCUGGCCCUCGCUCAGACGGCACUGCGCCUGAUUGGCCCCAGUUGUGACAGCGUUGAGGAAGAUAUGAAUGCUUCUGCCCAAGGUGCUUCUGCCACAGUUUUGGAAGAAACAAGGAAGGAAACGGCUCCUGUGCAGCUCCCUGUUUCAGGGCCAGAACUGGCUGCCAUGAUGAAGAUUGGAACAAGGGUCAUGAGAGGUGUGGACUGGAAAUGGGGCGAUCAGGAUGGGCCUCCUCCAGGCCUAGGCCGAGUGAUUGGUGAGCUGGGAGAGGACGGGUGGAUAAGAGUCCAGUGGGACACAGGCAGCACCAACUCCUACAGGAUGGGGAAAGAAGGAAAAUACGACCUCAAGCUGGCAGAGCUGCCAGCCCCUGCACAGCCCUCAGCAGAGGAUUCGGACACAGAGGACGACUCUGAAGCCGAACAAACUGAAAGGAACAUUCACCCCACUGCAAUGAUGUUUACCAGCACUAUUAACUUACUGCAGACUCUUUGUCUGUCUGCUGGAGUUCAUGCUGAGAUCAUGCAGAGUGAAGCCACCAAGACUUUAUGCGGACUGCUGCGAAUGUUAGUGGAAAGCGGAACGACGGACAAGACAUCUUCUCCAAACAGGCUGGUGUACAGGGAGCAACACCGGAGCUGGUGCACGCUGGGGUUUGUGCAGAGCAUCGCUCUCACGCUGCAGGUGUGCGGCGCCCUCAGCUCCCCGCAGUGGAUCACGCUGCUCAUGAAGGUUGUGGAAGGGCACGCACCCUUCACUGCCACCUCGCUGCAGAGGCAGAUCUUAGCUGUGCAUUUGUUGCAAGCAGUCCUUCCGUCAUGGGACAAGACCGAAAGGGUGAGGGACAUGAAAUGCCUCAUGGAGAAGCUGUUUGACUUCUUGGGGAGCUUGCUCACUAUGUGCUCCUCUGACGUGCCGUUACUCAGAGAGUCCACGCUGAGGCGGCGCAGGGUGUGCCCGCAGGCCUCGCUGACUGCCACCCACAGCAGCACACUGGCGGAGGAGGUGGUGGCACUGCUGCACACGCUGCACUCCCUGACUCGGUGGAAUGGGCUCAUCAACAAGUACAUCAACUCCCAGCUCCGCUCCAUCACCCACAGCUUUGCGGGAAGGCCUUCCAAAGGGGCCCAGUUAGAUGACUACUUCCCUGAUUCCGAGAACCCUGAAGUGGGGGGCCUCAUGGCGGUCCUGGCUGUGGUUGGAGGCAUCGAUGGUCGCCUGUGCCUGGGCGGCCAAGUUGUGCACGAUGACUUUGGAGAAGUCACCAUGACUCGCAUCACCCUGAAGGGCAAAAUCACCGUGCAGUUCUCUGACAUGCGGACGUGUCGCGUUUGCCCAUUGAAUCAGCUGAAACCACUCCCUGCCGUGGCCUUUAAUGUGAACAACCUGCCCUUCACAGAGCCCAUGCUGUCUGUCUGGGCUCAGUUGGUGAACCUCGCUGGAAGCAAGUUAGAAAAGCACAAAAUAAAGAAAUCGACUAAACAGGCCUUUGCAGGACAAGUGGACCUGGACCUGCUGCGGCGCCAGCAGUUGAAGCUAUACAUCCUGAAAGCAGGUCGGGCGCUGUUCUCCCACCAGGAUAAACUGCGGCAGAUCCUGUCUCAGCCAGCUGUUCAGGAGACUGGAACUGUUCACACAGAUGAUGGAGCAGUGGUAUCACCUGACCUUGGGGACAUGUCUCCUGAAGGGCCGCAGCCCCCCAUGAUCCUCUUGCAGCAGCUGCUGGCCUCGGCCACCCAGCCGUCUCCUGUGAAGGCCAUAUUUGAUAAACAGGAACUUGAGACUGCUGCACUGGCCGUUGUGGAGUCCACUCACCCUUCGAGCCCAGGAUUUGAAGACUGCAGCUCCAGUGAGGCCACCACGCCUGUCAACGUGCAGCACAUCCGCCCUGCCAGAGUGAAGAGGCGCAAGCAGUCACCCGUUCCCGCUCUGCCGAUCGUGGUGCAGCUCAUGGAGAUGGGAUUUCCCAGAAGGAACAUCGAGUUUGCCCUGAAGUCUCUCACUGGUGCUUCCGGGAAUGCGUCCGGCUUGCCUGGUGUGGAAGCCUUGGUCGGGUGGCUGCUGGACCACUCCGACAUACAGGUCACGGAGCUCUCAGAUGCAGACACGGUGUCCGACGAGUAUUCUGACGAGGAGGUGGUGGAGGACAUGGAUGAUGCCGCCUACUCCAUGUCUACUGGUGCUGUUGUGACGGAGAGCCAGACGUACAAAAACCGAGCUGGUUUCUUGGGUAAUGAUGAUUAUGCUGUAUAUGUGAGAGAGAAUAUUCAGGUGGGAAUGAUGGUUAGAUGCUGCCGAACAUACGAAGAAGUGUGCGAAGGUGAUGUGAUGUUGGCAAAGUCAUCAAGCUGGACAGAGAUGGAUUGCAUGAUCUCAAUGUGCAGUGUGACUGGCAGCAGAAAGGGGGCAUCUACUGGUUUAGGUACAUUCAUGUGGAACUUAUAGGCUAUCCUCCACCAAGAAGUUCUUCUCACAUCAAGAUUGGUGAUAAAGUGCGGGUCAAAGCCUCUGUCACCACACCAAAAUACAAAUGGGGAUCUGUGACUCAUCAGAGUGUGGGGGUUGUGAAAGGUGUGAUGGAUGUCAGAUGUUUCCUAUCAAUGGAUCCAGAUUCAAAUGCAGAAACUGUGAUGACUUUGAUUUUUGUGAAACGUGUUUCAAGACCAAAAAACACAAUACCAGGCAUACAUUUGGCAGAAUAAAUGAACCAGGCUUCAGCAGAAGAAACACUUCCUAUAAAUCUCGCCCAAACAGGAAAGGAGAAGCAUUAGGGUGUCCGACUACGUGGGUUUCAUAGCUGUGGAAAAGCCAAAGGGGAGACUCCUGAAGAAAGGCGGUGAAGACUGUGAAGAGCGGGUCAGGAAGAUGAGCACAGCACUGCUACUCCUGUGGGCACAGGGACAGCAUGUCUCCAGCCAGCGCCACCUUGUUUAAUACAUGGGAACUCACUGAAAUUCAUUCUGUAUUUUGCCCGCAAAGUUUUAAAGCUUUCAUCCACAGUCAGGAAUUAAACUUAUACCAAUGAGAGCCUCACACAUUCAAGGAUGUACUAAGCACUACAGGCCUCACAGAAACAGAGAUCCCAUCUUGGAGUUUUCAGUACCACAUGGGAGAUAAAGGGUUUUGAACAUGAAAUGACAAAAACAACAGCAAGAAGAAAAUUCUUGUCCUUUUUCAUUACUAUCAGACUCAAAUAAAUGUCUUGGCUCUUACAUUACAUUCAUUCUUCAACCAUUGUGGUCUGGCUUCCACUUCCUUCACUUCACCAACAUGGCUCUGCCAAAGGAAGCCCGUGAUCUCUAGGCCAUCACUUUAAUUGAUCUUUCUACAACAUUUAUCCUGGUUGUUAAGCCCUCCUUACAACAUUCUUCUCUCUUUGUUUUUAUAGCUCCAUCUCUCCUGCUUCUUUAACUUGAUAAUGCAUACUUGAUUUUUCUAUUUGUUAUUUCAUAAACCAAUUAAUACACAGAUAAAAUGACUGUAUAUCAAACCAUGUUUGUAUAGAAAAAAUGGAUUUUGGAUGCCUCUCAUAUGUAAUUAGUUCUAUUAAACAUAUUAAUUGUAUUGUUUAAUUUGUCAGGUUUUUGACAGAAUUUUGUUUACAAGUAAUAAAAAUUUUAUCUCCAAUUUUC
rnacentral:lncRNA from 1 species